GAUGAACGCUGGCGGCGUGCCUAAUACAUGCAAGUCGAGCGAACAGACGAGGAGCUUGCUCCUCUGACGUUAGCGGCGGACGGGUGAGUAACACGUGGAUAACCUAUCUAUAAGACUGGGAUAACUUCGGGAAACCGGAGCUAAUACAGGAUAAUAUAUUGAAUCGCAUGGUUCAAUAGUGAACGACGGUUUUGCUGUCACUUAUAGAUGGAUCCGCGCCGCAUUAGCUAGUUGGUAAGGUAACGGCUUACCAAGGCAACGAUGCGUAGCCGACCUGAGAGGGUGAUCGGCCACACUGGAACUGAGACACGGUCCAGACUCCUACGGGAGGCAGCAGUAGGGAAUCUUCCGCAAUGGGCGAAAGCUUGACGGAGCAACGCCGCGUGAGUGAUGAAGGUCUUCGGAUCGUAAAACUCUGUUAUUAGGGAAGAACAAAUGUGUAAGUAACUAUGCACGUCUUGACGGUACCUAAUCAGAAAGCCACGGCUAACUACGUG
rnacentral:rRNA from 1 species